AUCCGCCGCGGUAAUUCCAGCUCCAAUAGCGUAUAUUAAAGUUGUUGCAGUUAAAAAGCUCGUAGUUGAAUUUCGGGGUCAGUAGAUUGGUAGUGCCACUGGUAUGUACUGGUCUCACUGGCUCCUCCCUCCUGAUGAACCGUAAUGUCAUUAAUUUGGUGUCUUGGGGAAUCAGGACUGUUACUUUGAAAAAAUUAGAGUGUUUAAAGCAGGCUCACGCUUGAAUACAUUAGCAUGGAAUAAUGAAAUAGGACGUUUGAUUCUAUUUUGUUGGUUUCUAGGAUCGAUGUAAUGAUUAAUAGGGAUAGUUGGGGGCAUUAGUAUUCAAUUGUCAGAGGUGAAAUUCUUGGAUUUAU
rnacentral:rRNA from 1 species